GAUGAAGAACGCAGCGAAAUGCGAUAAGUAGUGUGAAUUGCAGAAUUCAGUGAAUCAUCGAAUCUUUGAACGCACCUUGCGCCCUUUGGCUAUUCCGAAGGGCAUGCCUGUUUGAGUAUCAUGAACACCUCAACUCUCAUGGCUUGCCAUGAUGAGCUUGGACUAUGGGGGUCUUGCUGGCCUGUGGUCGGCUCCUCUCAAAUGAAUCAGCUUGCCAGUGUUUGGUGGCAUCACAGGUGUGAUAACUAUCUACGCUUGUGGUUUUCCACCAGGUAACCUUCAGCAAUGGAGGUUCGCUGGGGCUCAUAAAUGUCUCUCCUCAGCGAGGACAGCUCUUUGAACGUUUGAUCUCAAAUCAGGUAGGACUACCCGCUGAACUUAAGCAUAUCAAUAAGCGGAGGA
rnacentral:misc_RNA from 1 species